GAGGAAGAAGAUAAAGGGCGAGGGACUCUGCACCAAUAACACUUUACGAAACAUUUUUUCUUAUUACGUUUUGUUUCUUCACUGAAAUUGUUCAAUGAAGAAUACAUCAUUGCUUCUUUGGUUGAUUCUCACACCAUUGAUGAUUCUGGAAAUGUCUUUUGAUCCGUUUUGUAAAUGGAUAAUUCUAGAUCUAUUCUGAUCUUCUAUCGAAAACGCUAAAUCUUUGAUACGGGUGACAUGUUGCACGGGUCGCAUCUACUACGCAUCUUCUAUCUCCGACGUGGUCUUUAUAACCAUGAUCGAUGGUCAAUCUCAAUGGUUUUUGAAUUAGAUUUUGGAAAAAUCUAUUCAAAACUUUUGAGACGCUAUUUUAAUAGUGCUUUCAUCUUCAUUUUAUUGACGGAAGAUAAUCCAUCAGA
rnacentral:lncRNA from 1 species